ensembl:lncRNA
GUCACGUGCCUGUACCGGUGUGUUUUUGUGCUGUGGGUUAAUUAACAGAAGGGAGAGAGAGAGUGAGGAUGAAACACAUAAUAUAAGAAUAAUAACAUCUCUUAACAAGAAGUUUUUUUUAAUUAGGUAAUUUUAGUUUUUUAGUUAAAUUUUAAGAACUGUUUAACAAACACUUGUUUGUGCAGGUUGUUUUUUUUUUUAAAUAAAACCUUCACCUGCAGUUCUGUUUAACUUCUCACUUUGUGAAAAACUAACGAAAUAUAAAAAACGUCCACCUUCAAAUAAAUAAAAUGCAGCAGUGCACCAUUAAUAUUAUAAAUAUGAUAUGUAGAUAUUUAAAACAACAGCAUAUUAAAUGAUACUGUGUGCAGGUGAUAAUAUUUUUAGGAAGCAGAAUUUGAAUGCAGACGAACUCAAAUGUUGAAGCCUACAAAAAUAUCAUCCAAGCUUUCAUUUAUGAUUGUUCAUGCUUUGAAAUUGUGAUGUCAGAAUUUGAUAAAGUGUGCAGAGCUAGGUGUAGUAAAUCAUUGCUUAUUAAAUCUACUGUGUUAUCUAAUAGCACCAAACUAAUAGAGCUAUCACAUAACUGAGAAACGUGUGUGGCUUAUUACAAAUGGAUGAAACCACAUUUUACCUUAAUGAAGACGUAAUCUUUAAUAAGGUGUAGAAAAAAGAGGUGAGUUGUUUGUUGCUGUGGUAAACAAAGAAGUGUACUGAAUCUUUUGGACUACACAGAGUGAUGCAGUAUUGACUGUGAUGCUGAUUUGAGUUGUCUUAUUCUGUGUUUUUGUGCUUUGUCUUUUGUUACACAGAGUGAAAGAGAUCUUUGGUUUUGCCUUUGCUGACUGCUGAUCUGAUCGUCUCAGUCUGGUGACCUGCUGCAGAAAACCCUCUCCCUCUAUCAUUAACAAGCCAUUAACAAGCAAAUUCAGUCUGUCCUAUCACUCUCCCUCUCCCUGCUCCAUCUUUUUUGACAAGGGAUUCUAUCUUCUAUCAUUUCUCCGCCAUGUACUCUAUCUAAUUUUGACAAGCAUAAGCCCUAGUUUGACAAGAAACCAAGUUUGACAACAAACCAAGGUUGACAACAAACCAAGUUUUUGGAAAUUGAAGUUACCGCAACUUCGACGAUCUGUUUUCAGAAAUCUGAGAGAUCUCUGCUCUCACUGCUCCUUCUUUCCUGUCGUUAAACUCUCUCAUAUCCACUCAUUUUACUGGAAAUUACAAGUAAGAAGUUGAAUAUACAGUACAGUAGAAGUCACUGUAGAAACUAUUUACACAGCCCUAAAUUUGUCAUUUUAAUUUUGCAUUACACUUUGGAAUAAACAUUGAUUGGCUGUUUGGCUUACAGGUGCAAUUACUUUGAGAAAUUAUAUAAAAUAUACACCUCUUAAAGGUUUAUUUGUAAUAAGACAAUCUGGUUAUUUUGUAAUAUAUACAUUCAGACUGCUCUAUUUAGAUAAAUAUUAAAUUAGAUUCAAAUACAUUUUUCAAGUCUGUUUCACUGGCUAUAACAUUUGACUACAAGUUUAAACUAUUAUUAUUUAAGGACAAACCCUUUUUUUGUCACUCAGUGUAAGUAUUCAGUUACAAUUGUCAUCUAGAGGCUGCCCUGAGAACCCAGACUUCCUGUUUCCUGACUGCUGCAGAACAUCCAGCUGAAGAAUCCUCAUCGCCUGUCAUCUGAUCACUACACCACCACAGCUCCUUAUAUUUGCUUUAGAUUUUAGAUAUCUGAAAGAUUUACACAAAGUCUACUUUAAAACUAAGAGUUUAAUUAUAGCCUGUUGAUUGAUUGUUGAGAUUUAUUCUGCAUAUUACUUCACAGAAGUAUAGACCUAUUCAUUAACCAGUCUGGUUAAAAAAAAAAGUAUAAUAUACAGUUUUUGAAAAAGCUACAAUAAAACUUUUUAAAGAUCUUUCAAUAACUUUUAUAUUGAGUUUGUAUUUAAGUCAGCCUUUUACAUCAAUUAAACAGUUAUAAGAACACUUUACCAUUUGUAUAGUUUUACAUUUAUCCAUUUAAUAGAAACUUGAGGAGUUUUUCAGUGUUUACAGGUUGAUUUUUGUAUACAUUUGUGUAUAAAUACAUAUAAGGUCCAGUUUGUACUUGCACAAAAUGCCAAGGAAAGGUCAAAGGUCACAGUCCCAGAAGCUUAGAUGGCAAAAGCAGAAGGAACAGGUAAAUCUUUCUCAGACCGGUGAACAGGUAAAGGUGUCUGUUACAAGUAUUCCCAGUCCAGAAGUGCAGCUCAGCGUUCAGACAGCCGCAGUGUCUUAUGCAGAUGUGGUAAAGAGAGGUGUUUGCUCAUCAUCGGUGCCAAAUGCUAAAGUACAGCAGGUAAUCCAGACUAAACCCCAGCUAACUGUGCAAACGCAGCAUGAUGGAGAAGCUCCAGGACCGUCUCAUGUACAGGUUACAAACAGUGAAAGUCGUCCACGAGUGAGUAGCAUCUGUGCAUCCCGAAGCCAGGCCAAUGCUAAGUAUGGAAAGUACCGGAAUCAGCAAUGCAUGGCGAACAGUUUGGUUUUCCUGUCAUUCUUACACGAGGAUGAAUUCAUUACCAGAGCAGAUCUUAACCGUGUGUUGGACAAAGGCCAUGCCGUGUAUUCAGAUGCCAGAAAGAGGUUUGUGAACAGCGUGUUUCUAGCCUGUGAUGAACUUCCCACUGUGAUCAUCAGCCGCAGACACGAGUAUCAAGUCGACAUGUCUCAGUUUGCUCUUUAUGGCACAUUUGACGGUACAGAUCAUCUUCCGAGCCUUGAACAGGGACUACAGUGUUUGGCUUCAGACAUUUGCUAUGCUUUGCUAGUCAUGGGAGGAACAGCCAUCGCAGUUUCCAGGCUGACUUCAGGUGAAUACGCAUAUUUUGAUCCUCACCCACGUAAGUCUACAGGAAUGCCAUUGUCGCUAAGUGUAAGUGGUGGAACUGCAGUUAUGUUAAAAUUCACACGUCUUAACGACAUGAUUGACAGGAUCAAACGUUUGUACCGAAUGUGUAGCAUCGCACCAACCUGUGCUUAUGAGCUACAGCCUGUUGAGUUCCACAGUGAAAACGUUGCUGACCAAAGAAAUGCUGAUGAAAACAGACAAACAGCCACAACUGUUCCAGCACCAGCUUUAAAUGAACCUAAAUUUGAAACCCCCAAAUCCACUGAGAAAACACAGAAAACUGUGGCCGACACUUUAGCUACUGAAGUGAUGUCAUCCAGAGUGGAUUAUUCAAAUGAGCCAGCUGCUGAGCUGAACAAUUCUGAUUAUUUAGAAAUAGAAACCUCUGCAUCUUCUGUAAGAGACACUCAGGUAACAAAAGAUUCUGUUCCUCUGAAUGAUUUAAACACUGCCUCCUGUUUAACUAUGACAACAGAUGAACUCUCACAUAAACUGUUGAAGCAUAAUAAACAGCAAAGGAGAAAGAUUAGGAGACGACUGUUGGUCCAAGAAAAACUACCACAGAGAAAGGAAAAUGAGAAAAAGAAAGAAAGACAGAUGUACACUUUUGAUGAAAGCUUUAAGGCAAAGAAAAAAGAUUCUAGUAGAAAGUCUCAUGAUCCUGAUCACAGUAAGAAAAAGAGUGUGUACAAAAAUAAUCUGUAUAAACUCAAUGCUACAUAUAGAGAGAAACAGAGAGAACAUUUUAGAAAAAUCUAUAGAGAUAGUGCUAAAAUUAGAGAGAGAAAAAGAGAACGUGUCAUAAGGAUGUAUAAAGAAGAUUCUUUAUUCAGAGAAAAGCAGAAGGAACGUAUGAGAAAAACAUAUAAAGAAUCUUAUAGACAAUCUCCUAUAUUCAAAGAACAGCAGAAGGAGCGUAUAAGAAGAACAUACAGAGAAUCUCCCGUGUUCCGAGAAAAGCACAAAGAGCGUAUAAGAAGAAUAUACAGAACUUGUGCUGGAUUCAGAGAGAAACAUAAAGCUUACAUGAGGUCAUAUGUUUCUAACCUAUAUAAAGAAAGUGUAGAAUUUAGACAGAAAAAAAAAUGUUACAUCACUAAACGUUAUGGAGAAGAGAGACAAUUUCAGCAGCAACACAAGGACAAUAUGAGAGAACGAAUGAGAGUAAAAUAUUGGAACGGUUUUUCUUUUAGACAGAUGCAUAAUAUCAGAUGUGCAAUGAACAUAAAAAGAAAAUAUCGUCAGAUGCAUCGACCAGCUGAAAGUUUACAGUGUCAUCCAGAUAACAGUUUAAUGAAUGAGGCCAUAUCUCGUUUCAGAUCCAACAUUAAAUCAGCACCAUCUUAUGUUUGUACUGUUUGUCUAAAAGCUUCUUUUCCUAAUCAGGUGAAAAUCUGCAAAAGAGAAAAUUACUCAAAACACCAGACUGUAGCUCAGCAGUGUCUAACUGGUAAAUUUGUUCAUGUGUGUGAUGAAGCAUGUCAUGAUCACUGCAGCUUUCCUGUUGAGAGAAAAAAGGAGUAUAUCUGUCACACGUGUCACAGUUCCCUCAAAAGUGGAUGCAUGCCCAGGCUUGCUGCUGUUAACGGUUUAGAACUGCAGGAUAUUCCAGCUGAACUUUGUGAUCUCAACAUUCUGGAGAGACAUCUGAUUGCCAAAUGCAUACCAUUUGCUAAGAUUAUUCCUCUUCCAAAGGGGAGACAGAGACUCAUACGUGGUAAUGUGGUGUGUGUACCAUCUGAAGUCCAACAAACAGUUGACAGUUUACCGAGGAUCAGAAGCCAAUCACAGAUCAUGAGGAUAAAGCUGAAAAGACGACUGUGCUACAAAGGCCAUCAGCUGUUCCAGACUGUCACCUGGUCU